rnacentral:rRNA from 1 species
GGGUUGUGAGGUUAAGCGACUAAGCGUACACGGUGGAUGCCCUGGCAGUCAGAGGCGAUGAAGGACGUGCUAAUCUGCGAAAAGCGUCGGUAAGGUGAUAUGAACCGUUAUAACCGGCGAUGUCCGAAUGGGGAAACCCAGUGCAAUUCGUUGCACUAUCGUUAACUGAAUACAUAGGUUAACGAGGCGAACCGGGGGAACUGAAACAUCUAAGUACCCCGAGGAAAAGAAAUCAACCGAGAUUCCCCCAGUAGCGGCGAGCGAACGGGGAGCAGCCCAGAGUCUGAAUCAGCUUGUGUGUUAGUGGAACGGUCUGGAAAGUCCGACGGUACAGGGUGAUAGUCCCGUACACCAAAAUGCACAGGCUGUGAACUCGAAGAGUAGGGCGGGACACGUGGUAUCCUGUCUGAAUAUGGGGGGACCAUCCUCCAAGGCUAAAUACUCCUGACUGACCGAUAGUGAACCAGUACCGUGAGGGAAAGGCGAAAAGAACCCCGGCGAGGGGAGUGAAAAAGAACCUGAAACCGUGUACGUACAAGCAGUGGGAGCACCUUCGGGUGUGACUGCGUACCUUUUGUAUAAUGGGUCAGCGACUUAUAUUCUGUAGCAAGGUUAACCGUAUAGGGGAGCCGCAGGGAAACCGAGUCUUAACUGGGCGUUAAGUUGCAGGGUAUAGACCCGAAACCCGGUGAUCUAGCCAUGGGCAGGUUGAAGGUUGGGUAACACUAACUGGAGGACCGAACCGACUAAUGUUGAAAAAUUAGCGGAUGACUUGUGGCUGGGGGUGAAAGGCCAAUCAAACCGGGAGAUAGCUGGUUCUCCCCGAAAGCUAUUUAGGUAGCGCCUCGUGAAUUCAUCUUCGGGGGUAGAGCACUGUUUCGGCUAGGGGGUCAUCCCGACUUACCAACCCGAUGCAAACUACGAAUACCGAAGAAUGUUAUCACGGGAGACACACGGCGGGUGCUAACGUCCGUCGUGAAGAGGGAAACAACCCAGACCGCCAGCUAAGGUCCCAAAGUCAUGGUUAAGUGGGAAACGAUGUGGGAAGGCACAGACAGCCAGGAUGUUGGCUUAGAAGCAGCCAUCAUUUAAAGAAAGCGUAAUAGCUCACUGGUCGAGUCGGCCUGCGCGGAAGAUGUAACGGGGCUAAACCAUGCACCGAAGCUGCGGCAGCGACACUAUGUGUUGUUGGGUAGGGGAGCGUUCUGUAAGCCUGCGAAGGUGUGCUGUGAGGCAUGCUGGAGGUAUCAGAAGUGCGAAUGCUGACAUAAGUAACGAUAAAGCGGGUGAAAAGCCCGCUCGCCGGAAGACCAAGGGUUCCUGUCCAACGUUAAUCGGGGCAGGGUGAGUCGACCCCUAAGGCGAGGCCGAAAGGCGUAGUCGAUGGGAAACAGGUUAAUAUUCCUGUACUUGGUGUUACUGCGAAGGGGGGACGGAGAAGGCUAUGUUAGCCGGGCGACGGUUGUCCCGGUUUAAGCAUGUAGGCUGGUUAUCCAGGCAAAUCCGGAUAAUCAAGGCUGAGGUGUGAUGACGAGGCACUACGGUGCUGAAGUAACAAAUGCCCUGCUUCCAGGAAAAGCCUCUAAGCAUCAGGUAACAUCAAAUCGUACCCCAAACCGACACAGGUGGUCAGGUAGAGAAUACCAAGGCGCUUGAGAGAACUCGGGUGAAGGAACUAGGCAAAAUGGUGCCGUAACUUCGGGAGAAGGCACGCUGGUGUGUAGGUGAAGUCCCUGCGGAUGGAGCUGAGACCAGUCGAAGAUACCAGCUGGCUGCAACUGUUUAUUAAAAACACAGCACUGUGCAAACACGAAAGUGGACGUAUACGGUGUGACGCCUGCCCGGUGCCGGAAGGUUAAUUGAUGGGGUUAUCCGUAAGGAGAAGCUCUUGAUCGAAGCCCCGGUAAACGGCGGCCGUAACUAUAACGGUCCUAAGGUAGCGAAAUUCCUUGUCGGGUAAGUUCCGACCUGCACGAAUGGCGUAAUGAUGGCCAGGCUGUCUCCACCCGAGACUCAGUGAAAUUGAACUCGCUGUGAAGAUGCAGUGUACCCGCGGCAAGACGGAAAGACCCCGUGAACCUUUACUAUAGCUUGACACUGAACAUUGAGCCUUGAUGUGUAGGAUAGGUGGGAGGCUUUGAAGCGUGGACGCCAGUCUGCGUGGAGCCAACCUUGAAAUACCACCCUUUAAUGUUUGAUGUUCUAACGUUGGCCCCUGACCGGGGUUGCGGACAGUGUCUGGUGGGUAGUUUGACUGGGGCGGUCUCCUCCCAAAGCGUAACGGAGGAGCACGAAGGUUAGCUAAUCCUGGUCGGACAUCAGGAGGUUAGUGCAAUGGCAUAAGCUAGCUUGACUGCGAGCGUGACGGCGCGAGCAGGUGCGAAAGCAGGUCAUAGUGAUCCGGUGGUUCUGAAUGGAAGGGCCAUCGCUCAACGGAUAAAAGGUACUCCGGGGAUAACAGGCUGAUACCGCCCAAGAGUUCAUAUCGACGGCGGUGUUUGGCACCUCGAUGUCGGCUCAUCACAUCCUGGGGCUGAAGUAGGUCCCAAGGGUAUGGCUGUUCGCCAUUUAAAGUGGUACGCGAGCUGGGUUUAGAACGUCGUGAGACAGUUCGGUCCCUAUCUGCCGUGGGCGCUGGAGAAUUGAGGGGGGCUGCUCCUAGUACGAGAGGACCGGAGUGGACGCAUCACUGGUGUUCGGGUUGUCAUGCCAAUGGCACUGCCCGGUAGCUAAAUGCGGAAGAGAUAAGUGCUGAAAGCAUCUAAGCACGAAACUUGCCCCGAGAUGAGUUCUCCCUGAGACUUUAAGUCUCCUGAAGGAACGUUAAAGACGAUGACGUUGAUAGGCCGGGUGUGUAAGCGCAGCGAUGCGUUGAGCUAACCGGUACUAAUGAACCGUGAGGCUUAACCUUACAACGCCGAAG